UCCUGAAGAACACUCAGGGAAGACAGAAACCUUGCGUGGAGCAGAAGGGGUAAAAGCUCGCUUGAUCUUUAUUUUCAGUAUGACUACAGACUGUGAAAGAAGAG
rnacentral:ncRNA from 1 species